rnacentral:rRNA from 1 species
GUAGCGAGAGAGGGGUGAGAAACCCCUCCGCCGGAAGUCCAAGGGUUCCUGGGGAAGGCUAAUCCUCCCAGGGUGAGUCGGGAGCUAAGGCGAGGCCGAGAGGCGUAGUCGAUGCACAACCGGUUGAUAUUCCGGUACCACGGGUUGCGCGACAAACGCCGACCCGCAGUUGCUCAGGGGAUGGUCGACCCUUCGGGGUUGACAGGAACUUGAACCAAGUGCGGUUAGGUGAGUGAUGCGGGGACGCAGGUAGGUAGGUGAUCCCAGGCGAUGGUUGUCCUGGGGCAAGCGUGUAGGUCGGGGCGUAGGUAAGUCCGCUCCCCAUAAAGACUGAGACGUGACGCCGAGCCGUUUAAGGCGAAGUCACUGGUCCUUUGCUGCCAAGAAAAGCCGCUAGCGAGUGCAACCGGUGCCCGUACCCCAAACCAACUCAGGUGGACAGGUAGAGAAUACCAAGGCGAUUGGGAGAACUAUGGUUAAGGAACUCGGCAAAUUGCAUCCGUAACUUCGGGAGAAGGAUGACCUUAUUAGGGUGAUAAGACCUUGCGUCUUUGAGCCUGACGAGGUGACACAAACCAGAGGAAAGCGACUGUUUACUAAAAACACAGCAGCGUGCUAAGUCCUAAGACGACGUAUACGCUGUGACGCCUGCCCGGUGCUGGAAGGUUACGGGGAAGGGUUAGCCUUCGGGCGAAGCUCUGAACCUAAGCCCCAGUAAACGGCGGCCGUAACUAUAACGGUCCUAAGGUAGCGAAAUUCCUUGUCGGGUAAGUUCCGACCUGCACGAAUGGCGUAACGACUUUCCUACUGUCUCAACCAUAGACCCAGCGAAAUUGAAGUACGAGUAAAGAUGCUCGUUAGCUGCAGAAGGACGGAAAGACCCCGUGGACCUUUACUACAGCUUGGUAUUGGUAUUUGUUAUGCGUUGUGUAGGAUAGGUGGGAGACUUUGAAGCGUUGGCGCUAGCCGAUGUGGAGUCAACCUUGAAAUACCACCCUGCGUUUGACGGAUAUCUAACCUGGGCCCGUUAUCCGGGCUGGGAACAGUGCCAGGUGGGUAGUUUGACUGGGGCGGUCGCCUCCUAAACGGUAACGGAGGCGCCCAAAGGUUCCCUCAGUCUGGUUGGCAAUCAGACGUCGAGUGCAAUGGCACAAGGGAGCUUGACUGCGAGACUAACAAGUCGAGCAGGUGCGAAAGCAGGGCAUAGUGAUCCGGCGGUUGCGUGUGGAAGCGCCGUCGCUCAACGGAUAAAAGGUACCCCGGGGAUAACAGGCUCAUCUUCCCCAAGAGUCCAUAUCGACGGGAAGGUUUGGCACCUCGAUGUCGGCUCAUCGCAUCCUGGGGCUGAAGCAGGUCCCAAGGGUUGGGCUGUUCGCCCAUUAAAGCGGUACGCGCGCUGGGUUUAGAACGUCGUGAGACAGUUCGGUCCCUAUCCUCUGUAGCCGUAGGAGAUUUGAGAAAGGCUGUCCCUAGUACGAGAGGACCGGGAUGGACGCAGCUCUCGUGUGCCAGUUGUUCCGCCAGGAGCAUGGCUGGUUGGCGACCUGCGG